UACGGGGGGGCAAGCGUUGUUCGGAAUUACUGGGCGUAAAGGGCUCGUAGGCGGCCAACUAAGUCGGAUGUGAAAUCCCCAGGCUUAAUCUGGGAACUGCAUCCGAUACUGGAUGGCUUGAAUCCGGGAGAGGGAUGCAGAAUUCCAGGUGUAGCGGUGAAAUGCGUAGAUAUCUGGAGGAAUACCGGUGGCGAAGGCGGCAUCCUGGACCGGAAUUGACGCUGAGUGAGCGAAAGCUAGGGGAGCAAACGGG
rnacentral:rRNA from 1 species